UACGUAGGGGGCAAGCGUUGUCCGGAAUCAUUGGGCGUAAAGCGCGCGUAGGCGGCCCGGUAAGUCCGUUGUAAAAGUCGAAGGCUCAACCUCCAGCCUGCAGUGGGUACGGGCAGACUAGAGUGCGGUAGGGGAGAUUGGAAUUCCUGGUGUAGCGGUGGAAUGCGCAGAUAUCAGGAGGAACACCGAUGGCGAAGGCAGAUCUCUGGGCCGUAACUGACGCUGAGGAGCGAAAGCAUGGGGAGCGAACAGG
rnacentral:rRNA from 1 species